rnacentral:rRNA from 1 species
CCUGAGAAACCUAAAAGUUCGAAAAGAGAGAUUCAACGUCAGCAUGUAUAGUAUUGACGUGAGUAGUGAUGUUAGUAUUAUUGGUUGGGUCAUUCCUUUCGAUAAUACUAGCACAUUUUCAUGUUAUUUUUAUUGCUAUACUAUUGUCGGCGUGCACUUCUCUCUUAGUAGGACGUCCCGACCCGUUGAGUCUUAGCCUACGGCCCAAAUGGAUGUCUUUAAUAUUUUAUUAUAUUAAAAGCCAUUGGUGUCUCCUGGCCUAAGUACUCGACGGUAUUUAUAUGACAUGGUAUUAAGCCGCAAUUUAUUUUGCGUCCAGCCUGCCGCAAGUUUAUUGACAAUUUCUGUAGACUUAGACUUUGUACUAAGUAUAUGGUGUUGUUGGCUGUUUGCAUGACAGUGCUCUUGGACUGGCUUAACAUAUACCUGUCAGGGACGCUUAGGCUUUGGGUACUCUCAGGACCCGUCUUGAAACACGGACCAAGGAGUCUAACAUGUACGCGAGUCAUUGGGUAUAUAUUUUCCUUCGGGAAUUUAUAUAAAACAAACCUAAAGGCGUAAUGAAAGUAAAGGUUGGAUCUUGCAUUCAACUUCGGGAUGAUGAGUUAUUAAUUUAUCUCCGCAAUCCCAGGGCGUCAUAAUCUCAUUGCGAGAUGU